rnacentral:rRNA from 1 species
GACGAACGCUGGCGGCGUGCUUAACACAUGCAAGUCGAACGGAAAGGCCCCUUUGGGGGUACUCGAGUAGCGAACGGGUAAGUAUCACGAGAGUAACCUGAACUUGACCUCGGGACAACUUCAGGAAACUGGGGCUAAUACCGGAAAGGAAUCCUAGCCGCAUGGGGGGGGUUGGAAAGCUUCGGCGGCUUUGGAUGGACUCGCGGCCUAUCAGCUUGUUGGUGGGGUAGUGGCUUACCAAGGCUGUGGCGGGUAGCCGGCCUGAGGGGGGGACCGGCCACAUUGGGGCUGAGAUACGGCCCAGACUCCUACGGGGGGCAGCAGGGGGGAAUAUUGCCCCAUGGGCGGCAGCCUGAUGCAGCAACGCCGGGUGCGGGAUGGCGGCCUUCGGGUUGGAAACCGCGUUCAGCAGGGGCGAAGCUUGUGGUGACGGUACCUGCAGAAGAAGCACCGGCUAACUACGUG